rnacentral:piRNA from 1 species
UUCACUAGAGGUUGAGUCAGAGACCUAGUG